rnacentral:rRNA from 1 species
AUUUCAGCAAUGAAAUCUUAGUGGCGAACGGGUGAGUAACGCGUAGACAACCUGCCUUUUAGAUGGGGACAACACUGCGAAAGUGGUGCUAAUACCGAAUGUUGUAUUUUAAGCGCAUGUUUGAAAUACUAAAGAUGGCCUCUAUUUAUAAGCUAUCACUAAAAGAUGGGUCUGCGUCUGAUUAGCUAGUUGGUGAGGUAAUGGCUCACCAAGGCGACGAUCAGUAGCCGGUCUGAGAGGAUGAACGGCCACACUGGGACUGAGACACGGCCCAGACUCCUACGGGAGGCAGCAGUGGGGAAUCUUCCGCAAUGGACGAAAGUCUGACGGAGCAACGCCGCGUGAGUGAAGAAGGUUUUCGGA